UUAUCUAACCUAUCUGUACGAAUAAAACCGUUCACAAACGCGAAAAUGAACAAAAAUUUACAACUAAAUGUGAACGGUACCGAACAGCGGUGAGCAUAAUUUUACGUAAACAAUACACUCUACGGAGUGUAUACGCAAAAAAGAGUAUAUUUCCACCCAGUGCUAAAUUGUUACCCUGACGGGUUACAAAAGCUACACUUUUAUGAAAUACCGACAAAAACCAAAUUACGUGUUUGUCCAACGAACUUUCUGUCUCGUUGUGGUACUGAAUAGACCUUUCUCGUCAAAAAAAUUUAUAUGCAGAACAGCUUCUGUUUUCAUCGCUGGAUCGAUUCUGAAUACUGUCACGUUAAUUUGGUGUCGCUAACUAUUGAAAAAAUCAAAAAUUCCUCGAACUGCCCAUUUUACUAUGUAUUCCCCUGUCCUAUUUUACCUUGAUUCUCCAUACUUUUACACCAUUUGGAUGAACUUCGAGUGGGGAAUAUGAAAUAAAGUUACGGCGGGUAGCCUGUAACAAAGUUCCAGUAGCCUACCGCUCGCCGGCAUCUAUUUUAAUCAGGCUAUUCGCCGUUUCGUGUACUGGGUAUGAACUCCAAGAGUUCAUUCCAAUUUGCUAAAAACAUUGUUUUGACGUUGAUGAACCCCAAAACAGUGUUGCAGAAUAUACCGAUUUAUCGAUAUUUAAACCGAUUUUUAAUUCCAAUGCCAAUAAAGCUACUAAAAAUACCGAUUUCUUUUCUCUUACCAAAAAAUAACGAUUUUCAUAUAAGAUCAAUUAAUAUGGGCCUUUUUAGAAAAUGUCUUCACCUUUCCACAUCAAAUCAUCCGGAAAUUGAUUCAGCAAUCUGCCAGGUUACUAUAAAAACUUCAAAUGAAGUUCAACAACCGAUUCUGAAAUUGAUUGAGCUCAGUAGGUUUCAUUACAUAACAUUAGAAUGAUCUAUAAAUUAAAAACCAAUAAUUUGCAGUUGCAGGUAACUUUUGGUUAGCAUACAUCUUCACACCGAUAAAUACCUUAUUUUUAUUUAGAACUAUACCGAUAUUAGAUUUGUCCCAGUACCAGUAGAAAGUGGAAGUACUCCGGAGCAAACAAAGAGAAAAUCGUUCCUAUGUUCUCUUCUCUUUUUUCUUCUUCCGUUAGCAAACAUGGAGUAAAAAGCAAGUAUUUUUUGCUUCUGUUUGCUCCGGAGCAACUUCUGUGUACUAGAACAAACCUAUUAUACAAAACCAUCUGACAACGCUGCUCUAAAGUGAAAAGUGCUCUUCAAACAUCGAUGACAUCUUUUUUCCUGUUUUCUCUACCUACCUAAACAUCAGCUGUCUCCCGUUUCCCGAGAGUUCGCCGACCAGUUUUGCUUUCAAACUGAAAAAAAACUACAGUUUAACUUCACCAGGCACAAUCAUCAAAAUGAGAUGCAGGAAAAUAUUAACCCAGAAUGGUUUUACCGUCCAGUGUGAGAAACAUUUUACAAAUGAUAAAAAAGGUAUUUGUGCGGAUCUGCGAAUUCGGUUUUUGUGGAAUAAUUCGACCAAGGGCUAUGAUGUAUACUAUAGCAUCGGUGGAGAGUAAGUCCAAUCAUACAGCUUCAUCCCACCCCGGGAGCAGAUGAGCGCUAGCGAAUGUUCUCAGCCACCUGGAGGAGGAGGUUCAGCGCGGAAGAAAUGUUACCAGACUUCGCCGAUCUGGUGUCUGAACUUUUUUUUUGAUAAUCUCAGAGAUUGGGUGUGCAGAUGGACGGUUGGAGUUCUGGGAGGGAACGACUGGUAACUUUAAGGGUAUAUAUGAAGCCGAAAACACCCACAACAAUGGGGUAACUAACACAUAGCUCGCCGGUGACAAAGUGAUAGUCGCACGGUUGAGUGGAGGAAUCGAUUUUCUGAAACUGGAAACGUACACGCAAGGUUGUCAGAUCGAUUGGGGAUUUACGUCUGCAUAAGGGCGUACCCACGCACGUACCGGUUCGGCAGGAAGCAUUAGUUAAUUUCAGCAAUCCGUCCACAGCGUUGCCAGCUCAACAUCACGCAUCCGAGAAGGAGCUUCGAUGUGUCCUGGAGUUUCACCAGCAGCGUCACCGGUGACAUGUUUGGAAGUGGCGAGCGGUACAGUCAUGACUGGCAGCCAGGGCCACACUUUUAAAGUAUUCCGGCUAGAUAGCCACCUAUUGCAGUUCACCCUAAACGGCUAUUGCGGUCCUAUCACAUGUAUUUUCAUAGACCAGUAGCAGGCCGAGAUGGGCGCAUCUGGUUACCAGGAUGGUGUGCUAUGUGUGUGGGACUUGAUACGGGGUGCCUGUAUGUGCAAAAUUGAAGCGACAAAAUUGAUGACUCAAUCGUCGCACUUGCCUGUUCCCCGAGUUACGCAAUAUCGCUUGGACUGGACGAACGAAUACGGAUCUGGGAUAGAUUUCAGGGUCGUAUGGGACGACAAUACUGGAGAUGUAGCUCGGGAAGUCAGGCUUGACUGUUCCAAUUCACAGCUAAAUCCGAAGAUUAUGCUACCUGCCAGUGGUUCGGUAAUUUGUGACUACGGAAAUCGAAUGAGAAUCGUUCGUUUCCCACUUGUGGCGGCGGAAAAGUGGUUCGGUCCGGGGAAUCGUAAUCGGCCAGCUGUACAGCUGCAGCCUCCGAACGAAGCCAUUGCUAGCACGAGUCUUUGAUUUGGAAGGAUAGUUGCUGAGGACCAUUCUCACAAUAAGUUGAUAAUAUCCAUUACAUGAUCAAAUGCGCUGAUGGGUAUGACUAUGCAUGUGUACGGUUUGGUAACCAGUACAAUUUACAAUUUCUAUGCAGUGCACGGCCACCAAUAAUUCUUCCAUAAAUUUAGACAUUGUGCCGAACAAGAGUAAAUUCGCGUCCGGGGAAUCGUAAUCGGCCAGCUGUACAGCUGCAGCCUCCGAACGAAGCCAUUGCUAGCACGAGUCUUUGAUUUGGAAGGAUAGUUGCUGAGGACCAUUCUCACAAUAAGUUGAUAAUAUCCAUUACAUGAUCAAAUGCGCUGAUGGGUAUGAAUAUGCAUGUGUACGGUUUGGUAACCAGUACAAUUUACAAUUUCUAUGCAGUGCACGGCCACCAAUAAUUCUUCCAUAAAUUUAGACAUUGUGCCGAACAAGAGUAAAUUCGCGUAUAUAAAAUAUAUAGGAGGCCCUAUUUUCACAGUCACGUCACUUAGUGACUAGAAGGAAAUUUUCUUCUAGUCACUAGGUGACGUGACUGUGAGAAUAGGGGCUUGGAGCAUAUC